rnacentral:rRNA from 1 species
GUGGGGAAUCUUGCGCAAUGGCCGAAAGGCUGACGCAGCGACGCCGCGUGUGGGAGGACGCCCUUCGGGGUGUAAACCACUGUUGCCCGGGACGAACAUCCUUUUUCGAAAGGACUGACGGUACCGGGUGAGGAAGCACCGGCUAACUCCGUGCCAGCAGCCGCGGUAAUACGGAGGGUGCGAGCGUUGUCCGGAAUCACUGGGCGUAAAGGGCGCGUAGGUGGCCCGUGGAAGUCUGCGGUGAAAGCCCGGCGCUCAACGCCGGGUCGGCCGUGGAUACUCUCGGGCUUGAGCUCACUAGAGGCAGAUGGAAUUCCGGGUGUAGCGGUGGAAUGCGUAGAGAUCCGGAAGAACACCGGUGGCGAAGGCGGUCUGCUGGGGUGAGGCUGACACUGAUGCGCGACAGCGUGGGGAGCAAACAGGAUUAGAUACCCUGGUAGUCC